GUAGGUGGCAAGCGUUGUCCGGAAUUAUGGGCGUAAAGCGCGCGCAGGCGGGUUCUUUAAGUCUAAUGUGAAAGCCCACGGGCUCAACCGUGGAGGGUCAUUGGAAACUGGAGAACUUGAGUACAGAAGAGGAAAGCGGAAUUCCACGUGUAGCGGUGAAAUGCGUGGAGAUGUGGAGGAACACCAGUGGCGAAGGCGGCUUUCUGGUCUGUAACUGACGCUGAGGCGCGAAAGCGUGGGGAGCAAACAGGAUUAGAUACCCUGGUAGUCCACGCCGUAAACGAUGAGUGCUAAGUGUUAGGGGGUUUCCGCCCCUUAGUGCUGCAGCUAACGCAUUAAGCACUCCGCCUGGGGAGUACGGCCGCAAGGCUG
rnacentral:rRNA from 1 species